CUCGCUUCAAGGUCUCUCCUCCUUUGUAGAUGGUAGACCCUAGCAUGCUGGACCUCUGCAGAGAAGACACUCUUUGCCCUUACAUACUAUGUGAGCCCGGGGCAUCAUUCUCCGGACCUAUGCUAACUCCGGGUCCGAUGCUAUAUUCUGACCUGGAACGAUUGGUUUUGCUGCUGCUGCUGCCACUGCCACCGCCGCUGACUCCUGGGGACUCAGGAGGGUGCUGACCCAGGAGGUAACCUGGUAGGCCUCGCCUGUUCACUUUGAGAUGUAGAACAAAGCCCUUUACAGAAAAAGAUUUGGAUUUGCUGUGCUAAGCCAUGGAAGUAGUUUUCUAGACAAAAGGUGACUUCAGAACCUUCCAUAGCGACAUUUACAGCCACGGGACUGGACUGGCCAACAGUGUGAGCAUUUGUGAGCAUGCUUGAACGCUUCUUGGCAACAGGAGUGCAGCUUCGUUUAUUAUGGGUCAGAGGAAGGGAACAAUAGGACGCUAAGAGGAUGUCUCGUCUGCCCUGCUGCCUGGGGUAAGCCCAAAAUAACCGGCUGAAUUGGAACUCUGGCCUCUUUUCUCUGGCCCCUAGGGAAGCCUUUCACAACCAUCCUCUAUUAUCCGACCCAUUUUUAACAAAGUUUAGUAUCAUAUCAGAAAGCAUCCCAUGUGUCAAAACUCUAUCCCCACUGCUGCUGACUAACCGUUUAUUCUCACGUGCAUACCGAGCAAACAUGGAGGAAAGUCCCUACCACCGCCACUGCCGUCACUACCACCACCACCACAGUUCACCUGAACAUUUAAUCUGAACUCCAGCCAGUGCCUGGGUCAGUUGAUGGAGCCUGAUGUCUGCCCUACCUCCGCCAGCCUCUCCUGCCUGUUAACACAAAUAAAGGUUUAUU